CCCAUAUCCAGAAUCAGUUUCAAGUCAUCAACCGAACUGAACAGAUCGUCUCCUAAAUUGUAUAUUUAUUUUUUUUUUACCAAAAAAAAAAAUGUUUUAAAAUUUCGUAACAUUGUGAAAUGUUUUUCGUGUUAUUCGAGUAAUUUUUUCGUUAGCUGGGGCGUCUGCCAAACAAAAAAAAAAUGUGUCUGCUAGGUUCAUAAAGCUACGCACCAAAAUUGUUAGUUUUUUUUUGGGAAAAAUUAAAUAUGGAAUAUAUAUACUCACUCUACAUCCUACAUUUUUGAAUAAGAAGUUGCUGAAUUAGUAUUGCUGAUGUUGCUGCAAUUACAAUUUUCUUUGCUUUGUUGGGUCUAUGAUCCACACAGACGCACCACGGGGAUGGGCGGCAUCCAUCACUAUCCUGCCACAUGUUACUGACGAAUGAUCCACACACCAGCUGGUCCUUCGAGAAGGAUCAGCUUACUGGAAUGGCAAGAAUGGUAACACCCAGGACCCAAGUCACAUAUUAUCAACGCAAAGGCUGGCAUCCCCCAUGACCUUGGAUGACGGUCUUCUUUUUUUUGUUUUUGCGGUUCUUCAGACUAGAAGAAUUAAGCUAUCUACUCAACGACUCAGAGAUCCACACUCCAAUAGACAAGCAAACUAACCUGAUGAACUUAAGUUGGAGAAUCGACGAUUCCAACUACCACCCUCAUAACUACUACUUUUAAUGGAAAAAAAUUCUUUGCUGGGCGAAGAAUCAUGUGUGCCAGUGGCUGCCACCGAUGUGGUACCGACGGACACAAACACGGACACGUCUAAUAUACAUGGAUAUAGAUAUACACCACUCUUCUUCCCUGAUCAGGACUCAAGGAAGGCUCUCGCACGCGCACGCACAUCGACGUUUAUUUUAUUUUUUGUUGAAUUAUUGGUGGCCAGCUACUCGGCUCCUCAGAUAUUAACUAGAACCGUUCAACACAAGUAUAUUUUUGUAAA